rnacentral:rRNA from 1 species
UACGUAGGUUGCAAGCGUUGUCCGGAUUUAUUGGGUUUAAAGGGUGCGUAGGCGGCUUUGUAAGUCAGUGGUGAAAUACUCUAGCUUAACUAGAGGGGUGCCAUUGAUACUGCGGAACUUGAGUACAGAUGAGGUAGGCGGAAUUGACGGUGUAGCGGUGAAAUGCAUAGAUAUCGUCAAGAACACCGAUAGCGAAGGCAGCUUACUGGGCUGUAACUGACGCUGAUGCACGAAAGUGUGGGGAUCAAACAGG